GGAAUGGAUCUUGCAUGUUGGCUGUCUGAGAAGCUGCACAGUGAGAAACGGUCGCUAGGUUCAGGUAUGGGACGCCUAAGAAAAGUUACUGAAAGAGAAUAAAAGACAAGGACAGCUGGAAAAAAACAUGAAUGAAAAAGGAAAUAAAUAAAACGUGUAAA